rnacentral:rRNA from 1 species
UAGCCGUAAACGAUACUCGCUAGGUGUCGGCCACGGUGCGACCGUUGUCGGUGCCGUAGGGAAGCCGUGAAGCGAGCCACCUGGGAAGUACGGCCGCAAGGCUGAAACUUAAAGGAGUUGGCGGGGGAGCACCACAACGGGUGGAGCUUGCGGUUUAAUUGGAUUCAACGCCGGAAAUCUUACCGGGACCGACAGCAACAUGAAGGCCAGGCUGAAGACUUUGCCGGAUUAGCUGAGAGGAGGUGCAUGGCGUAGUCGUGU